AUGGUCAAACUCAGUAAUCUAGCAAUUCUUGACCUAGGAGGGAACCAGAUCAGUGGCAACAUCCCACAGUCAAUAGGUCACCUCAAGAGGCUGGAGGAGCUACAUUUGGGUAGCAAUAACAUGUCUGGGGAGCUGCCAUCAUCUCUCGGCAACUGUACAAAUCUCAAAACCAUCGAUCUGAAGAUCAAUAACUUCAGUGGAGAUCUAGGGAAGAUAAACUUCUCCGCACUACAGAAUCUAAGAAGUUUAGAUCUCAUGAGGAAUAAUCUCAGUGGCAUAAUUCCAGAAAGCAUUUACUCAUGCAGCAAUUUGACUGCACUGCGGUUGUUGGCCAACCGUUUCCAUGGUGAGAUCUCACCGAGAAUAGGCAAUCUGAAGCGCCUGUUCUUCCUAUCACUUGUUAGAAACUCCUUCACAAACAUCACAAAAGCUUUGCAUGUUCUUAAGAGUUGUAGGAACAUCAGCACCCUGCUUAUUGGCAAAAACUUCAUGAAUGAGGCCAUGCCACAAGAUGAAGCCAUUCUCGGCUUCCAGAACCUUCAAUAUCUCUCCAUGCACCACGGCUCGUUGACUGGAAGGAUACCUAUUUGGUUAUCAAAGCUCACAAAUCUGAAGAUGCUAGACUUAUACAGCAAUCAACUCACAGGACCAAUGCCAAGCUGGAUCAACUCCCUAAACCACCUCUUUCGGCUGGAUGUAUCUAACAACAGUCUUACUGGGGAAAUCCCAAUCACCUUGAUGGAGAUGCCAUUGUUAAAAUCAGAUAAGAAUGGCAUGUAUUCGGAAUUAGAACCAAACCUCCUGAUCUAG
rnacentral:rRNA from 1 species